UACGUAGGGAGCAAGCGUUGUUCGGAUUUACUAGGCGUAAAGGGCGCGUAGGCGGCGCGGUAAGUCACUUGUGAAAUCUCUGAGCUUAACUCAGAACGGCCAAGUGAUACUGCAGUGCUAGAGUGCAGAAAGGGCAAUCGGAAUUCUUGGUGUAGCGGUGAAAUGCGUAGAUAUCAAGAGGAACACCUGAGGCGAAGGCGGGUUGCUAGGCUGACACUGACGCUGAGUGCGCGAAAGCCAGGGGAGCAAACGGG
rnacentral:rRNA from 1 species